GAGGGUGUAGUUCAAUUGGUAGAGCACCGGUCUCCAAAACCGGUUGUUAGGGGUUCAAAUCCCUUCACCCUCGCCA
rnacentral:tRNA from 2 species